CAGGUCACUCGGCACCCACACCUCAGGGCAGGCAUCCUCUAGACAGGCCAUGCUGCGGAGCAGAAAGAAAGAGAUUUUGUUUUUUAAAAUAGUGUGCGUUGUUGUUCAGUUGCUAAGUCAUGUCCGGCUCUUUGCGACCCCAUGGGCUGCAGCACGCCAGGCCUCCCUGUCCCUCACUACCUCCUGGAGUUUGCCCAAGUUCAUGUCCAUUGAGUCGGUGAUGCUAUCCAGCCACCAAUAAACAGGGAUACUCCAGGAAUCGAACCGGCAUCUCCGGCAUUGCAGGCAGAUUCCUACGUGUUCUGCAGCAAAAAGGGGAGAGGGGGAAAGGAAGGAAAGAAAGACAGUGGUUAUCUCUGGGAGAGGAAGAGGUCUGGAUCUGGAAAGGAGGAGACAAUGUGAAAUGUUAUAUUCUUCUCUCAACUGGCCACUACAGAUGGAGAUGCGGGAGAGCUGAUUCGGGUAAGAAUUUUCACCUUUUGUUGGCUCCUGCCAGGCUUUUUAAGGGUCCUGUCUACAGGUUCUAUGUGGGAUUUAAAGUGGAUAGUGUAUUGGCAAGGUUUUCUUAUUAAUUUUUAAUUUUUGUUUCCCCUUAUCUGUUUAAGGGUAUAAUGUAGCAUUUACCAGGAACUCCCAGAGACUUGUCAACUCUAGGGGAAACUACGUGUCAAGACAGGAAGUGGCAGCUGGAGAGCCAGAGAAAAGGGGAAAUUCAGUGAGAGGGUUAGAAUGAGGAAGAGGCGGGUAUGAAGGAGACUGGGUAGGAGCCAGAGGCAAAGAGGAAACGAGUGCAGCGGGGUAAAGGAGGUGAAGAGCCUUCUGAUGACUUUUAUAUUCUUUCAAUCAUUUAUUUGCCUCUGUCAAUUUAGAGAUUGUUGUCAUUCAAGCUAAGUCACGUCCAACUCUUUGCGACCCCAUGGACUCUAGCCCGCCAGAUUCCUCUGUCCAUGGGAUUUCCUAGGCAAGAAUACUGGAGUGGGUUGCCAUCCAUUUCCUUCUCCAGGGGAUCUUCCUGACCCAGGGAUCGAACCCAUGUCUCCUGUGUUGGCAGGAGGAUUCUUUAUCACUGAACCACCUGGGAAGCCCUUGAAUCUUGAUUAGGCAAAGUCAGUCGAGAUAAUCCAUCACCUUGCCACAGAUCAGCUGGGAAACCCUUGAAUCUUGAUUAGGCAAAGUCAGUCGCGAUAAUCCAUCACCUUGCCACAGAUCGGCUGACGGGACAUGACAGAGUCUGCUUGAUGAUGGGGUUUCUGACAAGACAGAGAUGGGAAGCCUCCUCUCCCAGCUUUGGAUGUGGUUGUACAAAUGAUGAUGGAGCUCUGGCCACCACUGUGCAAACACCGACAUGCUGAGGACAGCAGGACAGCAAGGUAUUCCUUACUGCUCUUGAGAGUCCCUUGGACAGCAGGGAGAUCAAACCAGUCAGUCCUAAAGGAAAUCAACCCUGAAUACUCAUUGGAAGGACUGAGGCUGAAGCUGAAGCUCCAAUACUUUGGCCACCUGAUGCGAAGAGCCGACUCAUUGGAAAAACACCCUGAUGCUGGGCAAGACUGAGGGCAGGAGAAGGGGGUGACAGAGGAUGAGAUGGUUGGAUGGCAUCACAGAUUCAGUGGACAUGAACUUGGGAAAACUCUGGGAGAUGGUGAGGGACAGGGGGGCCUGGCGUGCUGCAGUCCAUGGGGUCGCAGAGUCAACACAACCUGGCAACUGAACCACAACUGCUCCUACACCGGCACCUUUGUGUUUGACGUUCCUUCUCCCUAGAAUGCCUCCCACUCGCUCUCCAGACCUCUGCAUGGCCCUCUG
ensembl:lncRNA